AAACUUUUCUGUUACCACGGAAAAUCUACUGGACGUGCUGACAGGACCACCCUCCCUGUCCCCGCCCCCCCCAGCCCCACUGCCAGAGUUGAGGGCCUGUGGGUAGAGGGUCACCGCUCACCGCCUCCAUCACUGCCAGCUUCUUCCCUGGCUGCACACCACCUGUACUGGGACUUAAUGGUUGUUUUUAGGUUGAGUCACUUUUUAAGCUUAAAUACUUAGAUAUGCCUUGUGCAUGUGCACGUACACACACACACACACACACACACACGCUGUGAGGGUCCAUCUCUCUCUCUUCUUGCUUGCUUUAAAAAAUAUCUUAAGAUCAUUUUUAUUGGUGCAUUACAAUUGUACCUAAAUAGUGAGUUUCACUGUUACAUAUUCACACAUGCGUGUGGCAUAAUUGGGUCAAUUUCAUUCUCCCAUCCUUCCCCUGCCCCCCAUUCCUCCCUACCCCUGGACCUUCCCCUACUCCACUGGUCUCCCUUCCAUUUUAAUGAGGUCCUGCCUGCUUUCCGCCCAUUUUCCCCUCUGGCUUUCUCUUACGAAGGAAAAUAUAAGACCUUUUACUUUCUGAGUCUGGCUUAUUUUGUUUAACAUAAUGCUCUCAAGUUCCAUCCAUUGUCUGGUAAAUGACAUGAUUUUGUUCUUCUUUAUGGCUAAGUAAAACUCCGCUGUGUAUCUAUACCACAUUUUUUGACCCAUUCUUCCGAGGAUACUUAAGCGGAUUCCACAGUUUGGCUGUUGUGAACUGUGCCACUAUAAAC
rnacentral:lncRNA from 1 species